AACUGAAUACAACCUCUUAUUGUUGCAGAACGGUUACACAAUGCGCAUCAUGAAUGCUGUUUGUUUAAUUGUAAUUUUACUGGUAAUGAGGUGCUAUGGCCAUAAGACGGAUUCUGGAUCGUGUACACCAAAACUCGAAAACGCCCUUUUCGAAGACCUGCUCAGUAUGAUGAUGAAGAUAAAAGGAAAAGGUUUGAGUCAGCAUGAUCAGGAAUUUUCAGCCUUUGCUGCUUCUUUAACUGCUUCAAAAACCUUAGGAGCUGGCGAAAUUAUAAAAUUUAACAAAGUUUGGACGAACGUCAAUAAUGAUUAUGAUUCAAGUACCGGCGUAUACACAGC